UACGUAGGGGGCUAGCGUUGUCCGGAUUUAUUGGGCGUAAAGAGCGUGUAGGCGGCCAGGUAGGUCUGGUGUGAAAACUCGAGGCUUAACCUCGAGAUGUCAUCGGAAACCAUCUGGCCAGAGUCCGGAAGAGGAGAGUGGAAUUCCUGGUGUAGCGGUGAAAUGCGCAGAUAUCAGGAAGAACACCAAUGGCGAAAGCAGCUCUCUGGGACGGUACUGACGCUGAGACGCGAAAGCGUGGGGAGCGAACAGG
rnacentral:rRNA from 1 species